GUCAAAGAGGGAAGCGGCCCCUGUCUUCACAUUAUCCCGUUGCUGUUCUCCUCUCUCGGGUCCGAAACGUUUGGCGACAGAAGCUGAAGAGCCGUCACUGAGCCGGCUGGCGAGCACGGCAAGUUGGGAGGAAUUAGAGAACGAACAAAGCCAAAAUUCCAACCCUGGACAGUUGGAGUGGCUCUAAAUUGGAUGGAGGGGAGCUUUAAUGCGAGGAAGGCCAAAGCCGCGAGCGACAGUUGACUGGGCAGAUGAAUGCAAUCCGAUGGCGAGCGGCCACGUCGGAGAGAAAACACGGGAAGUGUUUUUCGGAAUGAAAGACGAGAACCGAAUCUCUUCCUCAGCAAAAGUGGACGCCAUUCGCCCGACUAUUCCCUGUCAAGAUACCAUUGAGCAAGACUCUGAAAUUUAGUGUCAAUUUUUCCAACCGCAAACAGUAACUAAAAAAAAAAAAAAAAAACAGGUCACAAAUUUAGAUGAGCAGAGGGAGAGUCGGAGCGGGAAAAGGCUUGUGGCAGAUGGCAUGUUCAUCGGAGGUCGGAGCAUUAAGGGAUUAAUUACUGAUUUUGAGAGAACUAGUUAGCGUGGAGGAAGGAGGGGAGGAGCUUGGCUGAGGGGAGGAGCCAGCCGGCCGCAUACAUCGGUCUGCAAGUGGAUGCGACCGGCAUCGAAGGCGAGACGAGCAUUCGCAUGUUUAUCAGCCUCCUCUCGUGCUUGUUGCAGAUGUCGGAUCAGGGACGUCCAAAUUGUUUUUUCCCAAGGGUUCACACAAGAGCACUUUUGAUUUGCCUCACGUUCUAAAACCACACCCAUCGGUAUAGAGGGAACGAUGGG